rnacentral:rRNA from 1 species
UACGUAGGUGACAAGCGUUGUCCGGAUUUACUGGGCGUAAAGAGCGCGCAGGCGGUCGAUCAAGUCGCGUGUGAAAGCCCCCGGCUCAACUGGGGAGGGUCACGCGAUACUGAUCGACUCGAAGGCAGGAGAGGGUAGUGGAAUUCCCGGUGUAGUGAUGAAAUGCGUAGAUAUCGGGAGGAACACCAGUGGCGAAGGCGACUACCUGGCCUGUUUCUUGACGCUGAGGCGCGAAAGCUAGGGGAGCAAACGGG